CGUGGCGCCGCGCCAGCCCCUUGUACAACUCCCAGGCUCAGCUGGCAACCUCUGCCCCGGCCUAGGCUUGCCCGGGAGCUAUACCGGAGCGCCCUCUGCUGGAGACCCUCAGGACUACACCCGGCGUGGACUCCCCUCCCCUCUGCAGGGAAAGCUUCCUGCUUUCGGCGAGGGCGGGCAAGGGUCUCGCUGUGGUCCAGGGUGGCCUUGAACCCAC